AUGCGAUAAGUAGUGUGAAUUGCAGAAUUCAGUGAAUCAUCGAAUCUUUGAACGCACAUUGCGCCCCUUGGUAUUCCAUGGGGCAUGCCUGUUCGAGCGUCAUUUGUACCCUCAAGCUCUGCUUGGUGUUGGGUGUUUGUCCUCUCCUUUUGCGAUUGGACUCGCCUUAAAGAAAUUGGCAGCCAGUGUAUUGGUAUGGAAGCGCAGCACAAUUUGCGAUUCUAGCCAACGGUCACUUGCCCCCAACAAGCCCUUUUUAACACUUUUGACCUCGGAUCAGGUAGGGAUACCCGCUGAACUUAA
rnacentral:misc_RNA from 1 species